rnacentral:rRNA from 1 species
CCGGGCUGAAUCUAACAACAUGCCUGCACGUUGAUGUCAUAUACACAAAUAUGAAGGCGGGCUGGAACCUCUCGGGGUUACAGCCUUGCUGAAUUAUUCACCCUUGUCUUUUGCGUACUUCUUGUUUCCUUGGUGGGUUCGCCCACCACUAGGACAAACAUAAACCUUUUGUAAUUGCAAUCAGCGUCAGUAACAAAUUAAUAAUUACAACUUUCAACAACGGAUCUCUUGGUUCUGGCAUCGAUGAAGAACGCAGCGAAAUGCGAUAAGUAGUGUGAAUUGCAGAAUUCAGUGAAUCAUCGAAUCUUUGAACGCACAUUGCGCCCUUUGGUAUUCCAAAGGGCAUGCCUGUUCGAGCGUCAUUUGUACCCUCAAGCUUUGCUUGGUGUUGGGCGUCUUGUCUCUAGCUUUGCUGGAGACUCGCCUUAAAGUAAUUGGCAGCCGGCCUACUGGUUUCGGAGCGCAGCACAAGUCGCACUCUCUAUCAGCAAAGGUCUAGCAUCCAUUAAGCCUUUUUUUCAACUUUUGACCUCGGAUCAGGUAGGGAUACCCGCUG